rnacentral:rRNA from 1 species
UGGGGAAUAUUGGACAAUGGGCGCAAGCCUGAUCCAGCCAUACCGCGUGGGUGAAGAAGGCCUUCGGGUUGUAAAGCCCUUUUGUUGGGAAAGAAAUCCUGUCGGUUAAUACCCGGCGGGGAUGACGGUACCCAAAGAAUAAGCACCGGCUAACUUCGUGCCAGCAGCCGCGGUAAUACGAAGGGUGCAAGCGUUACUCGGAAUUACUGGGCGUAAAGCGUGCGUAGGUGGUUGUUUAAGUCUGUCGUGAAAGCCCUGGGCUCAACCUGGGAAUUGCGAUGGAUACUGGACGACUAGAGUGUGGUAGAGGGAUGUGGAAUUUCCGGUGUAGCAGUGAAAUGCGUAGAGAUCGGAAGGAACAUCUGUGGCGAAGGCGACAUCCUGGGCCAACACUGACACUGAGGCACGAAAGCGUGGGGAGCAAACAGG